AAACGCCUCUUGUCUUUGAAUUUGUUGUGUUCACAAAUUUGUCCUUGGACAGGCGACUCUGAUAGGAAGAUUAAAUCGUUAGAGGGGCGGAUGGGGUCAAAUAACACCGACCUCAAAUAAUGCGAAAAAAUGGAUAUCGAUGCGUACGUACGCGGAAUUGACCCUUUCCAUUAAUGAGAACAGUUUCUGGAUCUUGUCCGGUGUUGACAGCGAGUCGCCCUGGAUACCUCUCAGCAGCAUCUUCAUGCAUCCAAUCACUGAUCAGAACAACGACACUGAGUGACGUAAGGUACUCCAUCAUAAUAUUGCGAUCCCCUCUGCCAAAUUCCGUGCCAAUGAAGGGUCACCUCCAUUCCCGA